rnacentral:lncRNA from 1 species
GAGGAGCUGCCUACUGGGUUUCGGUUCUACCCUACUGAAGAGGAGCUAGUUUCAUUCUAUCUAUGCCACAAGCUUGAAGGGAGGAGACAGGACCUGCACCGUGUCAUCCCGGUUAUCAGUGUCUUUGAUAAUGAGCCAUGGGACCUCCCUGGUACAGAUCUUUUUACUUUCAAAUGCAAGAUAUAUGAAUAUGCAUGCAUGCUAGGAGAAGAUAUUUUGACUUUAAUGGAAUAACAAAUAACAAUUGACCUUUUGUGCAAUCUAUGUUGCAGAGCUUGCGGGAGAGCUGUGCCAAGGGGACACCGAACAGUGGUUUUUCUUUUCACCAAGACAAGAGAGGGAGUUUCGGGGAGGUAGACCAAGCCGAACUACAGCUUCUGGCUACUGGAAAGCCACAGGCUCUCCAAGUUAUGUUUACUCGUCAGAUAAUCGAGUUAUUGGAGUAAAGAAGACUAUGGUUUUCUACAAGGGGAGAGCUCCUACUGGCAGGAAA